rnacentral:lncRNA from 1 species
CUCGGCUCACUAUACUGUUUCACUCUUGCUGAUGGCAAUCUGAUCUCAAGUGAAAUUAUCACCUCUAUUCUAUGGCCAGGUUGAACGGUGAUUCUCCCAUCGGUAUGCGAGGAGUUGUUUGAUAUGCCCAUAAGACCGGAUACAGUUCUUCCACCCGAAGGCUUUUAGCUUCAUUCAGUCUGGUCUUGAGACCAUAUAGAAUUAUUCGGUUGGUUACCUCCACCUCACCGUUAGAUUGUGGAUGGCCGAUUGAUGUGAGUUUGUGCGUAAUAUAAAAUUUUAUACAGAAUUUUUUAAAAUUUUGAUUGUCGAAUUAUCGAUCAUUAUCGAUGAUGAUGAUGUGUGGU